rnacentral:rRNA from 1 species
AGCAGCCGCCGCGGGAAUACAGAGGGUGCGAGCGUUAAUCGGAUUUACUGGGCGUAAAGCGUGCGUAGGCGGCUAAUUGAGUCGGAUGUGAAAUCCCCGAGCUUAACUUGGGAAUUGCAUUCGAUACUGGUUAGCUAGAGUGUGGGAGAGGAUGGUAGAAUUCCAGGUGUAGCGGUGAAAUGCGUAGAGAUCUGGAGGAAUACCGAUGGCGAAGGCAGCCAUCUGGCCUAACACUGACGCUGAUGUACGAAAGCAUGGGGAGCAAACAGGAUUAGAUACCCCCGUAGUCCCUGUCUCUUAUAC